rnacentral:misc_RNA from 1 species
AUUCAUGAACGAUCGUGGUGGGAGGACUAUUCUUUACAGUAGAUCACGUGUUCCCUGGUACGAUGAACGGCGGACAGAUCCUGUCGCUUGUGGUGCUGAUCUCUUCCCUGCUGGUGCUGACACACUCUCUUGAGCACCCAAGUCACGACUCAUGUAACACCACUGGGUGUAGACAUGGGAAUGGUCGUCUUAGAUGUCAGUCAUGUAACACCGGGUGUCACGGAUCAAAUUGCAGCUCUACAUGCCAAGGACGUUGUGACGGAGACGGAUGUGACAGGUCCACUGGAGAAUGUUUCAGAUGUAGACCAGGGUUCUGUGGACGACAAUGUGACACACCCUGUCCACCACGUUGUUCCAGCAGUCCGGUGACUGGCGCUUGUUCUGAAUCUUGUGGUGGAGGAAGGACCGGGGCACAUUGUGAUGGACGAUGUCCACCCAACUGCAAGGCAUCAGUCUGUCACAUACAGACAGGAGAAUGUCUUGAUGGGUGUGAUGGAAGAUGGGCAGGGAACUUCUGUAACAUGACAUGUGACAACUGUCUGAUGGGAAGGUGCAGCAUCACGGGGUACUGUCUACAUGGAUGUGAAGCAGGCUUCUAUGGACAGAAGUGCGAAGACAGAUGUCAACAUUGCUGAACCACUGGUUGUGACUGACAGACUGGGGUAUGUGAACAGUGUCAACCUGGUUACCAUGGACACCGCUGCAGUAACACGUGCCCCGAGAAGUGCUACAAAGGAAGAGAUGGACACAAGCAUUGUGAUCGACAUACUGCAGUUUGUCAGGAAGGAUGUGAGACUGGGUGGCACGGGUCACACUGUAACACCCUGUGUAGUAUCUCCUGCAAGUCUUCCCUGUGUUACAGCCAUGAUGGAUCGUGCGUGGAGGGCUGUGUUCCAGGGUACUAUGGGAAACACUGCCACAAGAAAUGUCUGCAUUGUAGAGACAAUGUGUGUGACCGCCAUGGACGGUGUUCAGCCUGUACUGAUGGAUGGUUCGGAGAGAGAUGUGACGAGGCU